rnacentral:tRNA from 1 species
GAGCUCGUAGCUCAGCUGGUAGAGCAACGCCCUUUUAAGGCGUGGGUCCUGAGUUCGAAUCUCAGCGAGCUCACCA